rnacentral:rRNA from 1 species
UACAGAGGUCUCAACCGUUGUUCGGAUUCAUUGGGCGUAAAGGGUGCGUAGGCGGUCGGGUAAGUCGGACGUGAAAUCCCUCGGCUUAACCGGGGAACUGCGUCCGAUACUGGAUGGCUUGAGUUUGGGAGAGGGAUGCGGAAUUCCAGGUGUAGCGGUGAAAUGCGUAGAUAUCUGGAGGAACACCGGUGGCGAAGGCGGCAUCCUGGACCAACACUGACGCUGAGGAGCGAAAGCCAGGGGAGCAAACGGG